AGUGAACGCUGGCGGUAGGCCUAACACAUGCAAGUCGAACGGCAGCACAGUAAGAGCUUGCUCUUACGGGUGGCGAGUGGCGGACGGGUGAGGAAUACAUCGGAAUCUACUUUUUCGUGGGGGAUAACGUAGGGAAACUUACGCUAAUACCGCAUACGACCUACGGGUGAAAGCAGGGGAUCUUCGGACCUUGCGCGAUUGAAUGAGCCGAUGUCGGAUUAGCUAGUUGGCGGGGUAAAGGCCCACCAAGGCGACGAUCCGUAGCUGGUCUGAGAGGAUGAUCAGCCACACUGGAACUGAGACACGGUCCAGACUCCUACGGGAGGCAGCAGUAGGGAAUAUUGGACAAUGGGCGCAAGCCUGAUCCAGCAAUACCGCGUGAGUGAAGAAGGCCUUCGGGUUGUAAAGCCCUGUUGUUGGGAAAGAAAAGAAGCAGGUUAAUACCCCGCUGUUCUGACGGUACCCAAAGAAUAAGCACCGGCUAACUUCGUG
rnacentral:rRNA from 1 species